GACUGCUCCAAUGGUAGUGAGUUAUGUCAACUGAUAGUUCACAAUCAGUUAUAGAUCAAACUCCUUGUUCUACUCUUCCCCCUUCUCACUACUGCACUUGACUAGUCUUAA
ensembl:Y_RNA Y_RNA Y RNA